CUCUCGGGUCAGCCUCACACAGAGACGGAAGUCUUUAAUGUCAGUUUCUGUUGAGGAGAAGAAACAGAUGAGAUAUUUCCUCUUACCAUGCUGGCCCUGCUAGAAGACUCUCCACUUGGAGAGACUCAAGAAGCUGCCCAAGGGGACACAGUUCAAGGACGUGGAGGUCCAAGCCACCAUGCUACCUGUCACCUACCCAGCAGCAGUAACAGCAUAACCUAGCAGAGUCCACGGAGCCCAGACAGCCUCCUAGAGGGACACAGCCUGGCUGAGGACCUUCAUUUCAAUCAGGGAUUUGAAUUUCUCAUCUGCAAAAUGGAGAUAAAGACUGCAUGCCCUGCCUCUGCCACAGCAUGGCUGUGAGUGCCCUAUGCUGAGCAGCUGGAGGCCCCCCACCCCGAAGGCCCUGCUGCGAUGGGGAGACCGCCUGCCCACCUGGUAAGCCUCCUGCUGUGGGGGGACCCGCCCAUGGUCGAUCACCUGGGACGGCAGGAAGUGGAACUGGAUGUCCGGAUGGGGGACCCCAGGCUGGCUCCGGAUGAACCCCCCCGUUUCCAGAUGGGCCGUGGCUCCAUACCCUGAGGAUCAGAAGACAACGAUGAGGCAGAAGAGCAGUCCUGGGACGGCAGGUCCUCCCUCCUGAAUCCUCCUGGUUAUUCUCCAGUGGCAGUACCAUGUUCCUUAUUGAGACCUCCUGUUGUGAGACAACUGAGGCAAGUGGUCAUCAUGUGCCUGGCCAAGGCAGGUGGUUUCGGUCUCAGGCCCUAGAAGGGGUCCUCCUUCCUGCAACAAUUGACUGGUAGGAUCUCUUCUUUGCUACGACUGACAUCUGGACCCUCAGGGAUCAGCUUGCCUGCUGAUGGACUGGACCCAGCAGCCAGCAUUGGGACCCUUUAAAUGUCCCUGGUCUCCUCCUGAUGUGGACGACUGGCCAGAGCUUCCUGACCAGGUAAGGAACGAGAGACUUCACUGGCCUGUUUUCCCUUCCCUCUCCCUUUCCUCCUAUCCUAUUUUUCUGGUCCUGGAUGCAGGAGUCUAGUGGAAGAGCCUCAGUUAUCUGAGGGCUGGAGCCUGAUCACCUCCUGUGGGCAGGGACCUUGAGUUAUCUGGUAUCUGGUGGGGCUGAGUUCCCGUCCUCCCUUUCUGUAAGCCCAGGGGGCAAGUCCUGCAGGAGAUGUCUGAGGCCACCCCUUAGUUCCUGUUGGUCAGAACUCAAAUUGGAAGUUCUGCAUCUCUGUAGGAGGUUUUCUGAGAACCUUCAAUCUUGUAUUUAAGGCAGUGUCUGAUUAGGACAGCCGUGCCUAUAUGUGUUUUAUAUUUUACGUUCUGUGUUGUGAUCUGUGAUGGCCAUUCUGCCUUCUGAAAUAGGAAGUUCUGGUUCUGUUCCAUUGUAGGGCCCCCUUGGGAGAAUUUGUCUUGACUGAAAAGGUUUUAGCUAUAAGCCCGUGAUUAAGAGAAGGAUAUUUUAUUGUAACACUUUGUGGCCAGAAUAUUCUUUAGAUUCCAGAGAAAACCUAUUUAGGUGAAACUCUUGGAAAUUCCAAAACUGGUUCUUUUUGCAUAUACAGUUAGAAAAGGCAAGCGUGAUACAAUAUCUUUUAGAAUUCUGACCCUGAAAUAACAAUUCCUUCUAGGAGAACUUGGUUUUCUCACCCUGUGCCUUAACAGAUCCUGAGGGCUUUGGUCCUGAGAUAGAUGGGGGUGGUGGGGAACCUUUUAAACUAUACUUACUCCAACUAUUAUUCAUAAAUUAGUGAGUUUUAGAAUACCCAAUUCAUGAUUAAGUUUAGAAAAUGAACCUGUGAGAUCUCUGGUUGUGUAUAUAUAUAUAUAUCUCCUUACGUUUGGAUGGUAUUAUCAAAAUUAAUUCAUCAAUGAGCUCUACUUGUCUUAAGAAAAUUAAGCACUUAUAUAAAUUUUCAAAACUACAGAAAGGAAUUGGCAAGAAUUAAUUUCAGGUUCAUGUGAACUGGGGAAUAGUAUUAGAUUAAUAUCUGAUUUUAAACUUUGUUAAUUUAAAUAGAUAUGACUUUAGAGUCAUCAAGUUAUAUGACUUGUAUUAAACCAAGGUAUGGAGAAGGAAAUGGCAACCCACUCUAGUGUUCUUGCCUGGAGAAUCCCAGGGACAGAGGAGCCUGGUGGGCUGCCGUCUGGGGUCGCACAGAGUCAAACACUACUGAAGCAACUUGGCAGCAGCAACAGCAAACCAACGUAUAAAUAAAGGUAUUAUAAGAUCUUAUUAUAUCUAUUACAAAGUUGUCAGCAAGGAAAGUAACAUGGCAUGAUGAAAUUUUAUAAGUGAGUUAAAUGCAAGAUGAGAGCUUUUGGAUGAAUGUCUUAGGAAUAAUUAUAUUGUAGGAAUGUCUACUUAAGGAUAAUCUCUCUAGAUAUUUGAAAAUUUGCUUGAAAUUUAGAGUUGUUCUAAAUUAAGUGAUGGACAUUUAUUGAAUAGUUAAGUCAUCCCCAAAUAAGACACUGAAACAUCCAUUAUUAACCUUAAUAAACAGAGAAGGUAUUUGGGGUGAUUAAUGAAUAUGUUUGGUGUCAUCCUGACAUGUUCUCUGUAAGAAAGCAAAUGUUUUUAGGAAUUAUCACUAGCAUUUAUGUUCACUGAUCUACAGAAUCCUAAUGUAAAAGAUAAUUCAUAAUUGCUUGCCUCUUAGUUUUCACUAGAAAUUAAGGUUUUUAAAGAGUUCAGCUCUCUAAAUGUGUAAUUAAAGCUAAUAGAAAUAAUAAAAGUGGCACUUCAGUAUACAGUAGGAAAAGAGGAUGUGUAUUGUCAGUGAAGAAGGUAUGAGGAAUGGAAUUGCAUUUUAUUAAAAGAAAAGAGACUCUGACAGCUGGUUGUUUCUCAGUGAAGAAGAAAAUGGAGGACAAACUAAUGUGGAUACAGAAAGUAAUAGAGGGUUUGUGGAUCAUCAGGAUUGGCUAGGUUUAAAGUAAAGUUAAUUUUGUUGUUAAAAGUAGGUUGGUACAAGACUGGUUUUCUCUCUUAAAAGGGCAAAGUUUCCUUGGAAUGCUGCUUUUGAGAACAGAUUGUGUGAGUUUUUGUGCCUUUGCAUGCUAAGUUGCUUCGGUCAUGUCCAACUCUCUGCGACU